UACAGAGGUCUCAAGCGUUGUUCGGAUUCAUUGGGCGUAAAGGGUGUGUAGGUGGCGCGCUAAGUCGGGUGUGAAAUUUCGGAGCUUAACUCCGAAACUGCAUUCGAUACUGGCGUGCUUGAGGACUGGAGAGGAGACUGGAAUUUACGGUGUAGCAGUGAAAUGCGCAGAUAUCGUAAGGAAGACCAGUGGCGAAGGCGGGUCUCUGGACAGUUCCUGACACUGAGACACGAAGGCCAGGGGAGCAAACGGG
rnacentral:rRNA from 1 species